GAUCAUGGCUCAGGAUGAACGCUAGCGACAGGCUUAACACAUGCAAGUCGAGGGGCAGCAUGAUUUGUAGCAAUACAGAUUGAUGGCGACCGGCGCACGGGUGAGUAACGCGUACGCAACUUACCUAUCAGAGGGGGAUAGCCCGGCGAAAGUCGGAUUAAUACCCCAUAAAACAGGGGUCCCGCAUGGGAAUAUUUGUUAAAGAUUCAUCGCCGAUAGAUAGGCAUGCGUU
rnacentral:rRNA from 1 species